UCCUUUCCCACCUCCCUCCCAGGAUCCUGGAGCCUUUAGAACCUGGAAGAGGAACCCUUUGCACAGGCACACACACAUACACAUACACACCCCAAAAGCCCUUCACCUGCCCAUCUUGUUUAUAUGCCUAAUCAGUCCUGGGCUAGGUGGAGAGACAGAGAUUCUCUUAGCUGAACGAGGAAGGCUCCGAGCCCGGCUCCAGCCUGCAAACCCGGCUUGGAAAAAGGCCUUCCUUUCAACCAGCAAGAUUUAAUUCCGGCGCCGGCUGAACUUCAAGGACCGGACCCGGGCAGCAACGCAGGGCAGGGCCGGAGACCGCGUUUCACAUCCCCACCGAGCAGGUGGAUCUAAAAGGGCGACGUGGUGCGCUUCGAGCCGGGAGAAGAAGGAACAACGCGGGUUAAGGCCAGCACUGCCCUGGAGGACCCCAACUUCAGAACUGCUCACCAGCAUCUCCAGAUAUUGCUGGGGAAGAUGUCCACUUGAACCUUGGAAGGCCUGAGAGCUUCCUCUCUCUGCUGUAAUUUUCAUACGGCUUAGACAUGAACUGAAGCCUAGACCAUCUGAAGAAAAAGGAAAAGCAGAACCUGGUUUGAAAAGGGGCCAAAGCUGGCCAGGAGGCCCUCAGAAACGUUUCCAACUGGCUCCCUCCUCUCGACAUUCCAGCGACACCAGAGAAAGACGACCCACAUGAUGUGCAGAGGGAAUAAGCCAGCGCACUCUCUUUAGAAUGGCUGCAACAGCUGCUUUGUUGGCUCCUGAGCACCAGCCAAGAAUGCGCUACUCCUGAGAAUGCAGGCAUAUCCUUCGAAGGCAUGUAUUGUUUCUGCUAGUUACAGUUAGCAGAGCUCCAUGGGGGAGAGAAAGUCAACCUCUUGAACUCAGGACUCUC